GGCCUUUUGGAUUUAAUUGAAGGUCUGACCUGCCCAGUGAUAAAUUUAACGGCCGCGGUAUACUGACCGUGCAAAGGUAGCAUAAUCAUUAGUCUUUUAAUAGAGGGCUGGAAUGAAAGGUUUAACGAGGAACUGACUGUCUCAUUUUAUUUGUUUUAAAAUUUAAUUUUUUAGUUAAAAAGCUAAAAUUUUAUUGGAAGACGAGAAGACCCUAUAGAUCUUUACAUAAUUUUAUUUAAAUAUUUUUAUAUUAAUAUUUUUAAUUAAUAUUGUGUUUUGUUGGGGUGACAAAAAUAUAAAUAUAACUUUUUUAUUUACAUAACAUUGAUUUAUGAAUAUUAGAUCCAUUAUUAUUGAUUAUUAGACUAAGUUACCUUAGGGAUAACAGCGUAAUCCUCCUCCAGAGUUCAUAUUUACAGGAUGGGCUUGCGACCUCGAUGUUGGAUUAAGAUAAUAAUUAGGUGUAGCCGCUUAAUUUAUAGGUCUGUUCGACCUUUAAAUUCUU
rnacentral:rRNA from 1 species